UACGUAGGGUGCGAGCGUUAAUCGGAAUUACUGGGCGUAAAGCGUGCGCAGGCGGUUAUUUAAGUCAGAUGUGAAAUCCCCGGGCUCAACCUGGGAAUUGCAUUUGAGACUGCACGGCUAGAGUGUGUCAGAGGGGGGUAGAAUUCCACGUGUAGCAGUGAAAUGCGUAGAUAUGUGGAGGAAUACCGAUGGCGAAGGCAGCCCCCUGGGAUAACACUGACGCUCAUGCACGAAAGCGUGGGGAGCAAACAGG
rnacentral:rRNA from 1 species